rnacentral:rRNA from 1 species
UUUAAAUUGAGAGUUUGAUCCUGGCUCAGGAUGAACGCUGGCGGCGUGCCUAAUACAUGCAAGUCGAA